GACGAACGCUGGCGGCGUGCUUAACACAUGCAAGUCGAACGGAAAGGCCCUGCUGUUGUGGGGUGCUCGAGUGGCGAACGGGUGAGUAACACGUGAGUAACCUGCCCUUGACUUUGGGAUAACUUCAGGUAACUGGGGCUAAUACCGGAUAGGAGCUCCUGCUGCAUGGUGGGGGUUGGAAAGUUUCGGCGGUUGGGGAUGGACUCGCGGCUUAUCAGCUUGUUGGUGGGGUAUUGGCUUACCAAGGCUUUGACGGGUAGCCGGCCUGAGAGGGUGACCGGCCACAUUGGGACUGAGAUACGACCCAGACUCCUACGGGAGGCAGCAGUGGAGAAUAUUGCACAAUGGGCGGAAGCCUGAUGCAGCAACGCCGCGUGCGGGAUGACGGCCUUCGGGUUGUAAACCGCUUUCGCCUGUGACGAGGCGUGAGUGACGGUAAUGGGUAAAGAAGCACCGGCUAACUACGUG
rnacentral:rRNA from 1 species